rnacentral:rRNA from 1 species
GUGCAGCAGUCGAGAAAACUUUACAAUGUGCGAAAGCACGAUAAGGGAACUCUGAGUGCCUCCUAAGGAGGCUGUUCAGGUGUCUAAAAAGCACCUGGAGUAAGGGCUGGGUAAGACCGGUGCCAGCCGCCGCGGUAACACCGGCAGCCCAGGUGGUAGCCACUUUUAUUGGGUCUAAAGCGUCCGUAGCCGGUUGAGUAAGUUCCUUGGGAAAUUUGGCUGCUCAACAGUCAAGCUUCCAGGGAAUACUGCUCGACUUGGGGACUGGGAGAGGUCAGAGGUACUCCAGGGGUAGGGUGAAAUCCAUUAAUCCCUGGGGGACCACCGGUAGCGAAGGCGUCUGACCAGACCAGGUCCGACGGUGAGGGACGAAGGCUAGGGUCGCGAACCGGA